rnacentral:rRNA from 1 species
AGAGUUUGAUCCUGGCUCAGAACGAACGCUGGCGGCAGGCCUAACACAUGCAAGUCGAACGCACCCUUUCGGGGGUGAGUGGCAGACGGGUGAGUAACGCGUGGGAACGUGCCCUUCAGUUCGGAAUAACCCAGGGAAACUUGGGCUAAUACCGGAUACGCCCUUUUUGGGGAAAGAUUUAUCGCUGAGGGAUCGGCCCGCGUCUGAUUAGCUAGUUGGUGAGGUAAUGGCUCACCAAGGCGACGAUCAGUAGCUGGUCUGAGAGGAUGAUCAGCCACACUGGGACUGAGACACGGCCCAGACUCCUACGGGAGGCAGCAGUGGGGAAUAUUGGACAAUGGGCGCAAGCCUGAUCCAGCCAUGCCGCGUGAGUGAUGAAGGCCCUAGGGUUGUAAAGCUCUUUCGCACGCGACGAUAAUGACGGUAGCGUGAGAAGAAGCCCCGGCUAACUUCGUGCCAGCAGCCGCGGUAAUACGAAGGGGGCUAGCGUUGUUCGGAAUCACUGGGCGUAAAGGGCGCGUAGGCGGCCUUGUAAGUCGGGGGUGAAAGCCUGUGGCUCAACCACAGAAUUGCCUUCGAUACUGCGAGGCUUGAGACCGGAAGAGGUAAGUGGAACUGCGAGUGUAGAGGCGAAAUUCGUAGAUAUUCGCAAGAACACCAGUGGCGAAGGCGGCUUACUGGUCCGGUUCUGACGCUGAGGCGCGAAAGCGUGGGGAGCAAACAGGAUUAGAUACCCUAGUAGUCC